rnacentral:rRNA from 1 species
ACGGAGGGUGCGAGCGUUAAUCGGAAUUACUGGGCGUAAAGCGUGCGCAGGCGGUUUGUUAAGCGAGAUGUGAAAGCCCCGGGCUCAACCUGGGAUGGUCAUUUCGAACUGGCAAGCUAGAGUCUCGUAGAGGGGGGUAGAAUUCCAGGUGUAGCGGUGAAAUGCGUAGAGAUCUGGAGGAAUACCGGUGGCGAAGGCGGCCCCCUGGACGAAGACUGACGCUCAGGCACGAAAGCGUGGGGAGCAAACAGG